rnacentral:rRNA from 1 species
AACGAACGCUGGCGGCAUGCCUAACACAUGCAAGUCGAACGAGACCUUCGGGUCUAGUGGCGCACGGGUGCGUAACGCGUGGGAACCUGCCUUUAGGUUCGGAAUAACUCAGAGAAAUUUGAGCUAAUACCGGAUAAUGUCUUCGGACCAAAGAUUUUAUCGCCUUUAGAUGGGCCCGCGUUGGAUUAGCUAGUUGGUGGGGUAAAGGCCUACCAAGGCGACGAUCCAUAGCUGGUCUGAGAGGAUGAUCAGCCACACUGGGACUGAGACACGGCCCAGACUCCUACGGGAGGCAGCAGUGGGGAAUAUUGGGACAAUGGGCGAAAGCCUGAUCCAGCAAUGCCGCGUGAGUGAUGAAGGCCUUAGGGUUGUAAAGCUCUUUUACCCGAGAUGAUAAUGACAGUAUCGGGAGAAUAAGCUCCGGCUAACUCCGUGCCA